UACUCAUACCCUAGCCCACCUUCCCCAUUAGGCAUUAGCCGCCAACUCCUCCACUCCUCCGUCUAUCUCUCUGUUUUACCUAUGUGUUUCUCUUUCCCCAUUUCAUAAAUUACUAGUUUAAGAAAUUGUCAUUGUUCCAUUUCGAUUUCCACGCCAAUACUCCUCACACAUGAUUCUCAUUUCUCAGCAGAUUAAAUCAUUGAGAAAUGACUCGCCGCCGUCAUGAUUGCCGCUCCACCAUCAUAUCUCCGACUCCUGUCUUGUUGCUGCCCCAACUAACACCGUUUUUAAGGUUUAAGGUUUAAGUCUAAUGCAGAGCAGCGAGAUAAAGUUCAUAGUUCAUCGUUUUUUUUCCAGUUGCAGUCAAGUGAAAGAGCUAGGAAAUAUUUGAAGAGGCGAAGAACUUAUAAAGAAUUAUAGUUUGGGAAGUGGGAACAUCAAUUUAUUCAUUUUUUGUUUUUAAUUUCAGUUGUAAAUUAGAGUUACUUCGUAAUAUGUAUGUUUGUGUAUUUGAACUUUAUUGUAAUAUUAACACAUAUAUACAAGAAG